rnacentral:rRNA from 1 species
UACGUAGGGUGCAAGCGUUGUCCGGAAUUAUUGGGCGUAAAGGGCUCGUAGGCGGUCCAUCGCGUCGGGAGUGAAAAGCUGGGGCUCAACCCCAGUCCUGCUUCCGAUACGGGUGGACUAGAGGUAUGCAGGGGAGAACGGAAUUCCUGGUGUAGCGGUGAAAUGCGCAGAUAUCAGGAGGAACACCAAUUGCGAAGGCAGCUCGCUGGGACGUUACUGACGCUGAGACGCGAAAGCGUGGGGAGCAAACAGG